UACGAAGGGGGCUAGCGUUGCUCGGAAUCACUGGGCGUAAAGGGUGCGUGGGCGGGUCUUUAAGUCAGGGGUGAAAUCCUGGAGCUCAACUCCAGAACUGCCUUUGAUACUGAGGAUCUUGAGUUCGGGAGAGGUGAGUGGAACUGCGAGUGUAGAGGUGAAAUUCGUAGAUAUUCGCAAGAACACCAGUGGCGAAGGCGGCUCUCUGGAACGCAACUGACGCUGAGACGCGAAAGCGUGGGGAGCAAACAGG
rnacentral:rRNA from 1 species